AGGAUAAUAGUUUAAAAAACAUUUAAUUUGCAUUUAAAAUUUAUUGGUCUCCAAUUUAUCUUA
rnacentral:tRNA from 1 species